rnacentral:rRNA from 1 species
AGAACGAACGCUGGCGGCAGGCUUAACACAUGCAAGUCGAACGCGUGUAGCAAUACACGAGUGGCGCACGGGUGAGUAACGCGUGGAUAUCUGCCUUUUGGUUCGGAAUAACUCCGGGAAACUGCCGCUAACACCGGAUACGGCCUUUUGGCGAAAGUUCACGCCCUGGGAUGAGCCCGCGUCCGAUUAGCUAGUUGGUGAGGUAACGGCUCACCAAGGCAUCGAUCGGUAGCCGGUCUGAGAGGAUGAUCGGCCACACUGGGACUGAGACACGGCCCAGACUCCUACGGGAGGCAGCAGUGGGGAAUCUUGGACAAUGGGGGCAACCCUGAUCCAGCGACGCCGCGUGGGUGAUGAAGGCCUUCGGGUUGUAAAGCCCUUUUGUCGGGACGAUGAUGACGGUACCCGGCGAAUAAGCACCGGCUAACUCCGUGCCAGCAGCCGC